UACAUAGGGGGCAAGCGUUGUCCGGAUUUAUUGGGCGUAAAGAGCGUGUAGGCGGUCUGGUAGGUCCGUUGUGAAAACUCGAGGCUCAACCUCGAGACGCCGAUGGAAACCCUCAGACUAGAGUCCGGAAGAGGAGAGUGGAAUUCCUGGUGUAGCGGUGAAAUGCGCAGAUAUCAGGAAGAACACCCGUGGCUAAGGCGGCUCUCUAGUACGGUACUGACGCUGAGACGCGAAAGCGUGGGGAGCGAACAGG
rnacentral:rRNA from 1 species